ACAGUGCAACAAUUACAUUUGUUAUACACAGUAAUUGGCCAGGUCAUGGAGGUGCGAACUUCUCUCUUCUAUGACUGUGGUGUGUUCACCU